rnacentral:lncRNA from 1 species
AGAGGUGGGCCUCUGGCGACGUCAGAGGCGUGGGUGUUCGGCUACGUCACUGGGGCCCUACGGUGCCUGGAGCUGGGCAGUCUUCUCGUCAGAGUGGGGACUGGACACAAAGACCAACGAGCCACCACAGCCACCAGUCCCAGAACCCGCUAAUGCUGGGGAACGGAAAAUGAGGGAGUUCAACUCUGGCAAGUUCUCAGCGAAAUCCACGACCUUUUCCUUUAUCUUCUGGACUCUCAAUGUGACUGAUGAAAGUUACCACAUGCUCUGCAGGGGGAAAUGGUUUAGCAUGUAUUACUACAUCUUAAUCACAUCUUUGUAAAGCCAGGAGCAUUUUGAAAGUCACGUUACAGACAUUCAGACAUUGUUUAAACAUAGUCUGUAUAUACCAAAGUAUAGGACGUUGUAUCAUCUCAUAUUAAUUAGUUAGUUGGCUCAAAAUUAGUGCUAAUGACUUAGUAAUUCAGUGAUUUCUGUUAGCUUUAAAACCUUUAUUUCAGAACUAUUUCACCUCUUGGUUUUCAUUUUUGCUGUGUGUCACUGCCUGCCAGCUGCUAAUUUAUUAACUCCCAGUGAAUCACGUGUCCUGUGAAGGGACUGAAUAUUAGUGGCAAAUUAUGUUGAUGAUUUAUAUUUUGAAUAAAUAGUUUGAAUACAUAGAACAUUAAGCUUG